rnacentral:rRNA from 1 species
UACGGGAGGCAGCAGUGGGGAAUAUUGCACAAUGGGCGCAAGCCUGAUGCAGCCAUGCCGCGUGUAUGAAGAAGGCCUUCGGGUUGUAAAGUACUUUCAGUCGUGAGGAAGGUGUUAAGGUUAAUAACCUUAGCAAUUGACGUUAGCGACAGAAGAAGCACCGGCUAACUCCGUGCCAGCAGCCGCGGUAAUACGGAGGGUGCGAGCGUUAAUCGGAAUUACUGGGCGUAAAGGGCACGCAGGCGGUUAAUUAAGUUGGAUGUGAAAUCCCCGGGCUUAACCUGGGAAUGGCAUUCAAGACUGGUUAGCUAGAGUCUUGUAGAGGGGGUAGAAUUCCAUGUGUAGCGGUGAAAUGCGUAGAGAUGUGGAGGAAUACCGGUGGCGAAGGCGGCCCCUGGCAAAGACUGACGCUCAUGUGCGAAAGCGUGGGGAGCAAACAGGGAUAGAUACC